GGUUAAGCGACUAAGCGUACACGGUGGAUGCCCUGGCAGUCAGAGGCGAUGAAGGACGUGCUAAUCUGCGAUAAGCGUCGGUAAGGUGAUAUGAACCGUUAUAACCGGCGAUUUCCGAAUGGGGAAACCCAGUGUGAUUCGUCACACUAUCAUUAACUGAAUCCAUAGGUUAAUGAGGCGAACCGGGGGAACUGAAACAUCUAAGUACCCCGAGGAAAAGAAAUCAACCGAGAUUCCCCCAGUAGCGGCGAGCGAACGGGGAGGAGCCCAGAGCCUGAAUCAGUGUGUGUGUUAGUGGAAGCGUCUGGAAAGGCGCGCGAUACAGGGUGACAGCCCCGUACACAAAAAUGCACAUAUUGUGAGCUCGAUGAGUAGGGCGGGACACGUGGUAUCCUGUCUGAAUAUGGGGGGACCAUCCUCCAAGGCUAAAUACUCCUGACUGACCGAUAGUGAACCAGUACCGUGAGGGAAAGGCGAAAAGAACCCCGGCGAGGGGAGUGAAAAAGAACCUGAAACCGUGUACGUACAAGCAGUGGGAGCACGCUUAGGCGUGUGACUGCGUACCUUUUGUAUAAUGGGUCAGCGACUUAUAUUCUGUAGCAAGGUUAACCGAAUAGGGGAGCCGAAGGGAAACCGAGUCUUAACUGGGCGUUAAGUUGCAGGGUAUAGACCCGAAACCCGGUGAUCUAGCCAUGGGCAGGUUGAAGGUUGGGUAACACUAACUGGAGGACCGAACCGACUAAUGUUGAAAAAUUAGCGGAUGACUUGUGGCUGGGGGUGAAAGGCCAAUCAAACCGGGAGAUAGCUGGUUCUCCCCGAAAGCUAUUUAGGUAGCGCCUCGUGAAUUCAUCUCCGGGGGUAGAGCACUGUUUCGGCAAGGGGGUCAUCCCGACUUACCAACCCGAUGCAAACUGCGAAUACCGGAGAAUGUUAUCACGGGAGACACACGGCGGGUGCUAACGUCCGUCGUGAAGAGGGAAACAACCCAGACCGCCAGCUAAGGUCCCAAAGUCAUGGUUAAGUGGGAAACGAUGUGGGAAGGCCCAGACAGCCAGGAUGUUGGCUUAGAAGCAGCCAUCAUUUAAAGAAAGCGUAAUAGCUCACUGGUCGAGUCGGCCUGCGCGGAAGAUGUAACGGGGCUAAACCAUGCACCGAAGCUGCGGCAGCGACGCUGAUGCGUUGUUGGGUAGGGGAGCGUUCUGUAAGCCUGCGAAGGUGUGCUGUGAGGCAUGCUGGAGGUAUCAGAAGUGCGAAUGCUGACAUAAGUAACGAUAAAGCGGGUGAAAAGCCCGCUCGCCGGAAGAUCAAGGGUUCCUGUCCAACGUUAAUCGGGGCAGGGUGAGUCGACCCCUAAGGCGAGGCCGAAAGGCGUAGUCGAUGGGAAACAGGUUAAUAUUCCUGUACUUGGUGUUACUGCGAAGGGGGGACGGAGAAGGCUAUGUUGGCCGGGCGACGGUUGUCCCGGUUUAAGCGUGUAGGCUGGUUUUCCAGGCAAAUCCGGAAAAUCAAGGCUGAGGCGUGAUGACGAGGCACUACGGUGCUGAAGCAACAAAUGCCCUGCUUCCAGGAAAAGCCUCUAAGCAUCAGGUAACAUCAAAUCGUACCCCAAACCGACACAGGUGGUCAGGUAGAGAAUACCAAGGCGCUUGAGAGAACUCGGGUGAAGGAACUAGGCAAAAUGGUGCCGUAACUUCGGGAGAAGGCACGCUGAUAUGUAGGUGAGGUCCCUCGCGGAUGGAGCUGAAAUCAGUCGAAGAUACCAGCUGGCUGCAACUGUUUAUUAAAAACACAGCACUGUGCAAACACGAAAGUGGACGUAUACGGUGUGACGCCUGCCCGGUGCCGGAAGGUUAAUUGAUGGGGUUAGCGCAAGCGAAGCUCUUGAUCGAAGCCCCGGUAAACGGCGGCCGUAACUAUAACGGUCCUAAGGUAGCGAAAUUCCUUGUCGGGUAAGUUCCGACCUGCACGAAUGGCGUAAUGAUGGCCAGGCUGUCUCCACCCGAGACUCAGUGAAAUUGAACUCGCUGUGAAGAUGCAGUGUACCCGCGGCAAGACGGAAAGACCCCGUGAACCUUUACUAUAGCUUGACACUGAACAUUGAGCCUUGAUGUGUAGGAUAGGUGGGAGGCUUUGAAGUGUGGACGCCAGUCUGCAUGGAGCCGACCUUGAAAUACCACCCUUUAAUGUUUGAUGUUCUAACGUUGACCCGUAAUCCGGGUUGCGGACAGUGUCUGGUGGGUAGUUUGACUGGGGCGGUCUCCUCCUAAAGAGUAACGGAGGAGCACGAAGGUUGGCUAAUCCUGGUCGGACAUCAGGAGGUUAGUGCAAUGGCAUAAGCCAGCUUGACUGCGAGCGUGACGGCGCGAGCAGGUGCGAAAGCAGGUCAUAGUGAUCCGGUGGUUCUGAAUGGAAGGGCCAUCGCUCAACGGAUAAAAGGUACUCCGGGGAUAACAGGCUGAUACCGCCCAAGAGUUCAUAUCGACGGCGGUGUUUGGCACCUCGAUGUCGGCUCAUCACAUCCUGGGGCUGAAGUAGGUCCCAAGGGUAUGGCUGUUCGCCAUUUAAAGUGGUACGCGAGCUGGGUUUAGAACGUCGUGAGACAGUUCGGUCCCUAUCUGCCGUGGGCGCUGGAGAACUGAGGGGGGCUGCUCCUAGUACGAGAGGACCGGAGUGGACGCAUCACUGGUGUUCGGGUUGUCAUGCCAAUGGCACUGCCCGGUAGCUAAAUGCGGAAGAGAUAAGUGCUGAAAGCAUCUAAGCACGAAACUUGCCCCGAGAUGAGUUCUCCCUGACUCCUUGAGAGUCCUGAAGGAACGUUGAAGACGACGACGUUGAUAGGCCGGGUGUGUAAGCGCAGCGAUGCGUUGAGCUAACCGGUACUAAUGAACCGUGAGGCUUAACCUU
rnacentral:rRNA from 1 species